rnacentral:rRNA from 1 species
AUGGCAAGCCACCUUCAAGUUCAGCAGAAAAAACAACAACUGAAUCUUCCACCAGGGUUCGGGUUUCACCCGACGAAUAUGGAGAUCAUCAUCUUCUACCUGGUCCCCAAGGUUCUGAAGAAAGCCUUCGACACGACGAUGGUAAGGGAGGUGGAUAUGAAAAAAUACGAGCUAUGGAAUCUCCCAAAUGAGGUAAACAUGGGGGAGAAGGAGCGAUACUUCUUCUCCUAGAAAGACCUCAAGUACCCCACCGGGAUACGGACAAACCGGGUCAUGAAUGCUGGCUAUUGGAAGGCUACUGGAAAGGACAAGGAGAUGAUUCUACCACUGACCUAAAGUCUCUUUGGCAUGAAGAAGACACUGAUCUUCUACAAGGGCAGGGCUCCUCGGGGGAGGAAGACAAAAUGGAUGAUGCAUGAGUACAGAAUCGAGAUCGACAUGCAGCCGACACCCAACUUGCCCACCAACAUCGUCGAAGCCGCCACCAAUAAUGUGUCUUCCAAGGUAAUUUUAGUCCUUGACUAG